GCCUGGUGCCGUGGCGCACACCCGUAAUCCCAGCAACUCAGGAGGCUGAGGCAGGAGGAUCACGAGUUCAAAGCCAGCCUCCGCAAAUUAGCAAGGCCCUAAGCAACUCAGGGAGACCCUGUCUCUA
rnacentral:sRNA from 1 species